rnacentral:rRNA from 1 species
AUGCAUCAAGGACCUUGGCUGUUCCACAACUGGGCGGUGCUCUUGUGCAAGUAUGACGGAUUCAGCCGAGCCGAGGACGUGGUGUUCGUUCAUAUGCCUAUUUGGCUUCAAAUCCACAAGCUGCCGGAUCCAUACUGCAAAAGGAAUAUUGGGGAGAAACUACUGAAGUGUGCUGGUGAGAUUUUGGAGAUGAGGUUAAACGGCAAUUCCCGUGGUGACCAUAUCAGGGUAAGAGUGAAUCUUGAUAUUCAGCAGCCUCUCACAAAAUUUUUGAGUAUUGUCCGUGCAAAGGAGCGGCAAGUUUAUUUGGUGCGGUAUGAGAAGUUGGCUAGGUUUUGUAAAGUAUGUGGUCUUGUCGGCUAUGAGCACAAAGAAUGCGGUCUGGGAAUUCACGAUGAGAAGAAGCUAAAGUAUGGUGAUUGGUUGUAUGCGGAUGCUCCUAAUCAGCCACGGCCAGAUGCUAAUCCGGCCAAGGCAGCUGGCCCUCGGCCAUUGAGCGUUGCUGUCCCAGCCGCCCUGGUGGAGCCGGAGCAGGAUAAGUUCGACCCUGAAAUUCUGAAUACGGUGUCUAGCUCGGUGAAGAAUCAUGGGGUCGUGAUGAAGGUGGACAAGGAGGUGAGGAAAAGGUUAAACAUGGACCUAGUUGGGGCUGAACAAGGUAUCACCUCAGGAACACCGAAAUAA